rnacentral:rRNA from 1 species
AGCAGCCGCGGUAAUUCCAGCUCCAAUAGCGUAUAUUAAAGUUGUUGCAGUUAAAAAGCUCGUAGUUGAAUUUCGGGAUCAGUUGAUCGGUCGUGCCUCGGUACGUACUGGUCAAAUUGAUUCCUACCUUCUGACGAACCACGAUGUCAUUAAUUUGGCGUCGCGGGAAAUCAGGACUGUUACUUUGAAAAAAUUAGAGUGUUUAAAGCAGGCUCGCGCUUGAAUACAUUAGCAUGGAAUAAUGAAAUAGGACGUUUGAUUCUAUUUUGUUGGUUUCUAGGAUCGACGUAAUGAUUAAUAGGGAUAGUUGGGGGCAUUAGUAUUCAAUUGUCAGAGGUGAAAUUCUUGGAUUUAUUGAAGACUAACUACUGCGAAAGCAUUUGCCAAGGAUGUUUUCAUUAAUCAAGAACGAAAGUUAGGGGAUCGAAGACGAUCAGAUACCGUCGUAGUCUUAACCAUAAACUAUGCCGACUAGGGAUCGGAUGAUGUUAAUUUUUAAUGACUCAUUCGGCGCCUUAAC